GCAUCAGAAAACUUUCUGCUCUCCGUGUCCUUCUACUUACUCUGAUUGCCUUAGUUAGUCACAUCGCAAGCAACAACUAACUGCCAAUGGGAGGAGCCAGUUGGAGCAGGGUGCGUGCUCGGUGCUCUUUUCAGAAGGUU
ensembl:ncRNA K06C4.25 ncRNA